CCUACGGGUGGCUGCAGUGGGGAAUCUUGCGCAAUGGGCGAAAGCCUGACGCAGCGACGCCGCGUGGGUGACGAAGGCCUUCGGGUUGUAAAGCCCUGUGGGGCGAGACGAACAGGGACGGGUCGAACAGGCCCGUGUUUUGACGGUAUCGCCUUAGCAAGCACCGGCUAACUCUGUGCCAGCAGCCGCGGUAAGACAGAGGGUGCAAACGUUGCUCGGAAUUACUGGGCGUAAAGCGCGUGUAGGCGGCUUUGUAAGUCCAACGUGAAAGCCCGGGGCUCAACCCCGGAAGUGCGUAGGAUACUGCGAAGCUGGAGUCCUGAAGAGGAGAGCGGAAUUCCCGGUGUAGAGGUGAAAUUCGUAGAUAUCGGGAGGAACACCUGUGGCGAAGGCGGCUCUCUGGGCAGGUACUGACGCUGAGACGCGAAAGCGUGGGGAGCAAACAGGAUUAGAUACCCCUGUAGUC
rnacentral:rRNA from 1 species